AUUAAUAAUGUAUGAUUCUCAAUAGUAUAUUUAUAUAUGAUAUGUAGAUCAUACCCCGAAUCAAUAUAUAGUUAUCAAACGUAAAUGCAUUUUAAUAUAGGAUGUCAUUAAAAAGGAGGGUCAUUUUUAUAUAAAAUCUUGCAAAAUUAUGACCCAUAUUUUUGGCACAUCCCCGUAUACCCAAUAAUAGGAAGUUGACCCCCCGUGCUA
rnacentral:lncRNA from 1 species